rnacentral:misc_RNA from 1 species
GUACUCUCACACUUCGGAUCCUUUGGAUUUGGAGCGGUGGACUUGGGUGUUGCCACUUUGCAGUGGCUCACCUCAAAUGGAUUAGUACAACUCUUGGUUAACCAUAGUACGGCGUGAUAAGUAUCUUCGCCGGCACCUCGCAAGAGGGUGGCUGAUGGAGAGCUCUGUGCUUUCAAACCGUCCUUGGACAAUUCAUCAUUA